AGUGAACGCUGGCGGUAGGCCUAACACAUGCAAGUCGAACGGCAGCACAGUAAGAGCUUGCUCUUACGGGUGGCGAGUGGCGGACGGGUGAGGAAUACAUCGGAAUCUACUUUUUCGUGGGGGAUAACGUAGGGAAACUUACUCUAAUACCGCAUACGACCUACGGUUGAAAGCAGGGGAUCUUCGGACCUUGCGCGAUUGAAUGAGCCGAUGUCGGAUUAGCUAGUUGGCGGGGUAAAGGCCCACCAAGGCGACGAUCCGUAGCUGGUCUGAGAGGAUGAUCAGCCACACUGGAACUGAGACACGGUCCAGACUCCUACGGGAGGCAGAAGUGGGGAAUAUUGGACAAUGGGCGCAAGCCUGAUCAAGCCAUACCGCGUGGGUGAAGAAGGCCUUCGGGUUGUAAAGCCCUUUUGUUGGGAAAGAAAAGCAGCAGGUUAAUACCCCGCUGUUCUGACGGUACCCAAAGAAUAAGCACCGGCUAACUUCGUG
rnacentral:rRNA from 1 species